CGCUAAGACGAACCCUGAAAAGUUCUAAAAGCAGAAAGGUUUGGUCCUAGCCUUAUUAUCAGUUUUUUCUUGAAUUACACAUGCAAGUCUCAGCACACCCGUGAGGACACCCUUAAACCCUUAACCAGACUAAGGAGCCGGCAUCAGGCGCAACAUCUGCCCACAACGCCUAGUCCCACCACGCCCCCAAGGGCAUUCAGCAGUGAUAAAUAUUGCUAAUAAGCGACAGCUUGACCCAGUUAAAGAAGAUAGAGCCGGCUAACUCGGUGCCAGCCGCCGCGGCUAAACCGCACGGGCUCAAACUGAUAGUUAUCGGCGUUAAGCGUGAUUAAAGUCCCCCUAUAAUUAGAGUAGAACCUACACUUAGCUGUGAAAAGCUUGAACUAGGGAAAAAUCAUAAACGAAAGUUACUCUAAUAAAUCACUUGAAUACACGACAGCUAGGAAACAAACUGGGAUCAGAUACCCCACUAUGCCUAUCCGUAAAAUAUUAAUUCACACCCACCAACGCCAGGGUAUUACAAGCCUUAGCUUAAAACCCAAAGGACUUGACGGUGUCCCAUCCACCUAGAGGAGCCUGUUCCAUAAUCGAUAAUCCCCGCUAUACCUAACCACCCCUUGCCAAUCAGUCUGUAUACCUCCGUCGUAAGCUUACCAUAUGAAUGCCUACAGUAAGUUUAAUGGCCACAAGCACCAAUACGUCAGGUCAAGGUGCAGCUUAUGAGAUGGUGGACAAUGGGCUACAGUUUCUAUACUAGAACAAACGAAACGCUGCAUGAAACACAGCCACGAAGGCGGAUUUAGUAGUAAAAAGAAAAUAGUGUGUUCUUUUUAACUAGGCCCUGGGACGUGUACACACGCCCCGUCGCCCUAAUGCGAGGUUAAAAAGAACACACUAUUUUCUUUUACUACUAAAUCCGCCUUCGGGCUGGGUUUC
rnacentral:rRNA from 1 species